rnacentral:rRNA from 1 species
AUUGAACGCUGGCGGCAGGCCUAACACAUGCAAGUCGAACGAGUGGCGGACGGGUGAGUAAUUUCUGGGAAACUGCCUGAUGGAGGGGGAUAACUACCGGAAACGGUAGAUAAUUACGCAGACCAUCGGAUGUGCACAGAUGGGAUUAGCUAGUAGGUGGGGUAAAGGCUCACCUAGGCGACGAUCCCUAGCUGGUCUGAGAGGAUGACCAGCCACACUGGAACUGAGACACGGUCCAGACUCCUACGGGAGGCAGCAGUGGGGAAUAUUGCACAAGGGGCGCAAUCCUGAUGCAGCCAUGCCGCGUGUAUGAAGAAGGCCGUCGGGUGGUAAAGUACUUUCAGCGGGGAGGCGUUACCCGCAGAAGAAGCACCGGCUAACUCCGUACCAGCAGCCGCGGUAAUUC